CAACUCAUUAAUCAUCAUGUAAUAGUUGAUCUUUAAAACUUAUUUAAUUUCUUUUUCCUUUUUCAAGUUUAUCAUGUCCUUUGUUCCACUCUUAAAACAUCUUUGCUUUAAGCAUCAAGUGCUGUUUUCUCCUCCUUUCACCUUAAGUACAAUCACCAUACAUACUCACACACACACACAUAUAUAUACACUCAAGUAAGCUAGAGAGCCAUUGCCAUUUCUCUUGGGCUAUAGGCUCUAAUGGGUGUUCCUCAAAACCAAACACAAACACCACUUUCAGCUCCUCACCUUUAUCCACAAGCACUUCAACUUAAACUCUAUCAGGCUUUCAUAUUUUCAAUUCCCAUCCUCUUUUCAAUAAUCCUCUUCUUAUUGUUUUACUUGUUUUACCUCAAGAGAAGAGCUACCAAUAUAUCAAACCCUAGGCCUAUUCUUCCAACAGCUACUACUUUUAAUCCCUCAUUAAUUCAUGUAUGUGCAUUUACUGCAGCAGCAGCCUUAUCAAUUGAGUUUAAAAAGUGGGUUCAAAGAUAAGUUGCCUACGGUCUUAUUUGAUGAAGAAUUGAGGACAAGGGAUACACUAUGCAGCGUUUGCUUAGGUGAAUUUGAGAUGAAAGAGGAACUGCUCCAAGUCCCAUCUUGCAAACAUGUGUUCCACAUCGAAUGCAUGCAUCGUUGGCUACAUUCUAAUUCAACUUGUCCACUUUGUAGAUGUUGUGUUGCCGUUGGCGUUAUUCCCAUCACCAAACUCCAUCCUCCAAUACCAUUUAUCCACAUUGACCCCCCGCCGCCACCGUCAUCACCGCCAUCAUCGCCACAUUAACAGAACGUAUUGUCUUAGCCACAACUUGAGUCACAUCGACAAAGCAAGCCCCUCUGGUGGUAUACAUAAUUUGUUUCAUUUAUUAAAGAGUAGUUAAUCGCAAAUCAUACGCGCACAACUUAUCAAAGAAUAAAACGACACCGACAAAGCAACGAGUUACUAGUCUAGUGAUAAAAAUGACUUGCAAAGAUUCAAGUUUCAAAGUUGACAUUAAUGCCUAGAGGUUCAAAUGUUAUAAUUUGAAUGUAAAAAAAUGUUGUUACUCCUUA